rnacentral:lncRNA from 1 species
GCUUGCGAAGCGGGCUCCGGCUCGGCUCGCGGGGACUGUGCACGAGGUUGGCGACGCCGCCCCGCCGGGCCCCAGAUCAGGCCGCAGAGAUCGGGAGCCGCGGGAGCACUAAGGCGCAAGGGCCACAGCAGCAGCCGGGCUCAGAGGGUCCCAGCUAUGCCAAAAAAGUUGCGCUCUGGCUUGCUGGGCUGCUUGGAGCUGGUGGGACUGUGAGCGUCGUCUAUAUCUUUGGAAACAACCCGGUGGACGAAAAUGGUGCCAAGAUUCCUGAUGAGUUCGACAAUGAGACAGAGUUUCACCAUGUUGGCCAGGAUGGUCUUGAUCUGACCUCGUGAUCCGUCUGCCUCGGCCUCCCAAAGUGCUGGGAUUACAGGCGUGAGCCACCGUGCCCGGCCUUAUCCAAUUCUGGUACAGCAGUUGCGCCGGACAUACAAAUAUUUCAAAGAUUAUAGACAG